rnacentral:rRNA from 1 species
AGGCAUGUGCACGCUCUGCUCAUCCACUCUACCCCUGUGCACUUACUGUAGGUUGGCGUGGGCUCCUUAACGGGAGCAUUCUGCCGGCCUAUGUAUACUACAAACACUUUAAAGUAUCAGAAUGUAAACGCGUCUAACGCAUCUAUAAUACAACUUUUAGCAACGGAUCUCUUGGCUCUCGCAUCGAUGAAGAACGCAGCGAAAUGCGAUAAGUAAUGUGAAUUGCAGAAUUCAGUGAAUCAUCGAAUCUUUGAACGCACCUUGCGCUCCUUGGUAUUCCGAGGAGCAUGCCUGUUUGAGUGUCAUGGAAUUCUCAACUUAUAAAUCCUUGUGAUCUAUAAGCUUGGACUUGGAGGCUUGCUGGCCCUCGUGGUCGGCUCCUCUUGAAUGCAUUAGCUUGAUUCCGUACGGAUCGGCUCUCAGUGUGAUAAUUGUCUACGCUGUGACCGUGAAGUGUUUUGGCGAGCUUCUAACCGUCCAUUAGGACAACUUUUUAACAUCUGACCUCAAAUCAGGUAG